CCGAGUUAUACAACUCCCAAACCCACUGUGAACCUUACCUCAGUUGCCUCGGCGGGACCGCCCCGGCCGCCGCGCAAGCGGCGCCGGACUCCAAGGCGCCCGCCGCAGGGACCCAAAACUCUUUUGCAUUACGCCCAACGGCGGGAAUUUUUUCUCUGAGUGCAUAAGCAAAACAAAUGAAUCA
rnacentral:misc_RNA from 2 species